rnacentral:rRNA from 1 species
AAUAGAUACCCAGGUAGUCCACGCCGUAAACGAUGUCGACUUGGAGGUUGUUCCCUUGAGGAGUGGCUUCCGGAGCUAACGCGUUAAGUCGACCGCCUGGGGAGUACGGCCGCAAGGUUAAAACUCAAAUGAAUUGACGGGGGCCCGCACAAGCGGUGGAGCAUGUGGUUUAAUUCGAUGCAACGCGAAGAACCUUACCUACUCUUGACAUCCAGAGAACUUUCCAGAGAUGGAUUGGUGCCUUCGGGAACUCUGAGACAGGUGCUGCAUGGCUGUCGUCAGCUCGUGUUGUGAAAUGUUGGGUUAAGUCCCGCAACGAGCGCAACCCUUAUCCUUUGUUGCCAGCGGUUCGGCCGGGAACUCAAAGGAGACUGCCAGUGAUAAACUGGAGGAAGGUGGGGAUGACGUCAAGUCAUCAUGGCCCUUACGAGUAGGGCUACACACGUGCUACAAUGGCGUAUACAAAGAGAAGCGACCUCGCGAGAGCAAGCGGACCUCAUAAAGUACGUCGUAGUCCGGAUUGGAGU